rnacentral:rRNA from 1 species
GAUGAACGCUAGCGGCAGGCUUAAUACAUGCAAGUCGUGGGGCAGCAGGUCUGUAGCAAUACAGGCGCUGGCGACCGGCAAACGGGUGCGGAACACGUACACAACCUUCCUUUAAGUGGGGAAUAGCCCGGGGAAACCCGGAUUAAUACCCCGUAACAUAAUGAAGUGGCAUCGCUUUAUUAUUAAAGCUCCGGCGCUUAAAGAUGGGUGUGCGACUGAUUAGGCAGUUGGCGGGGUAACGGCCCACCAAACCUACGAUCAGUAACUGGU